UGCCCCUCUCCAAAAUCGAAAGCUUGCCAUGCCCCACCAUUUUUUUCGAUGCCUCCUCCAUCAGCUAUGGCUGCAGCUGACGUAAAUAGAAGAGAUCUUUUCUUUACCAUCUUAACAACCAACACAACUUCGAUUUUAGGGUCUUCUCUCUCUCUUAAUUCAACCCAACUCUCUCUCUCUCUCUCUCUCAAUUCAGCCCCAUUCUGGCAAGUGGCAUGUAUAGGUUCUCCCCGACCCUUCAUUGUAUCCAAUUAGUUCAUCCUUUUAAACGAAUGCAGGGUUGGCAAAUUCUAUUUUGUUGAGCCAAAACAAGCAAUAACAGCAAGAAUAAUUUUCACCAUGUAUGCUUAUUUGUGAGUCUCGAAUCAGUGUCUUAGAGAGGAAACUCGUUUCAAUGAAAGCUUCUUCAAGUAUCAUAAAUUUCCCUAUUAUUAUUCCGCACACUGCAGGAUGAAUAGAUUUGUUCUUUUAGGAUCGAUUUCUGAAGACGGGAAGGCAAAAUGGGCUUAAGGUUUCUCUUUGGUGGGAUGGAUGGAGGCUUGAAGACAAAAUGGAAAAAAGAAGACGGGAAGACGAAAUACCUGGAGGCUUGAAGAUGAAAUUGGUUCGAAGACGGGAAGAC